AACAUUUGAUUUUAAAACAUUAAACAUUAUCUGCCUAAGUAAUUACAAAAUAGUUAAACUUAUAUUAAAAAGAUUCAACUCCUGUGCAAGUAUUUGAAAAGGAAAUAAGCUGAGGACAGAGGAUGCCAAUUUUUGAUGUAACAGUCACGGGCGGAGAGGUCAGGACUUCUGUGAGUGGAGCUUGACGAGGGAGGAAAACUGCAAGAUGCCUGGGCUCUGAUCACAUUCAUCCUGUUCCAAAGAUGCCUCAAGACUCACUCCUAUUUUUCCAACAUUCUCCUAGACAAUGACAUUAACAACUGGCCCAGCAGAGUCAUAACCAUUCUGAGGAAAAUAAAGUCCAGAAAAAUCAUAGUUUGCUCUGGAAAAAGGAUGGUGGAUGGAGGGAUGGAUAUUUGGUGCCAUGUGCUGCUUUGUUUGCAACAGCCAUUGAUGAACAUAUUAAAAGAUGUUUUUCAAAAUGCUUGGUGGUAUCUGUGUAAUUUGACUGAACUACGUGAUAGGCUAAGGAAAACUGACCCAUACCAAAUAAGCCUGGUAGAUAUUCUUCAACAAAGAGUGAAUUUGGGGAAAUGAAGAAAUGGAUGUAAUAAGUGUAGGUAGAUUUAAAUGGACAUUGUAAAAAAAAAAAAAGAAAAAAAAGAAAGAAAGAAAUGGGGAGAAUAUUUUGAAAGGGAACUCAAAGCUUUCAGCCCAUUUGCAGGCCAAGGUGUAAAAGUCCAGAAACAAGGAGAAAUUCAAGACUCAAGAAGGAGAGAGGAUUAUGAUGGCAGAAUAGAAGGACUGGAGCUCAACUUCUCUCCUAAAAACAACAAAAUUCACAACUAAAGAUUGAGCAAUCUCCACCCAAAUGGACCAGAAACCUUAAAAAUGAUACCCUACUCCAGAAGAAAAAGAGGAGGCCACAUCAAGAGGUAGGAGGGGCGAUUUCAGGAUAUAAACAACCCCAUACCUCCCAGGUGGGAAACUCCACAGACUGAAAACUAACUGAUUCACAGAGACUCACCUACAGGAGUGAGAGUUCUGAGCCCCACAUCAAACCUUCACCUGUGGGGAUCUGGCACUGGGAGAAAGAGUCCCUGGAGCAUCUGGCUUUGAAGCCUAGUGGGGUUUGUGUGCAGGAGCUUCACAGGACUGGGGGAAACAGAGACCCCAUUCUUAAAAGGCACACAUGGACUUUCACAUGCACUGAGUCCCAGGGCAGAACAAGGUCUCCACAGGAAUCUGGGUCAAAUAUGACUGCAGUUCUUGGAGGACAUCCUGGGGGAAAAGGGGUGAAUGUGGCUUGUGAGGGAGGGACAUUGAAGGCAAAGCGCUUGGGAAUAUUCAGCAACCCUGCCUUUCUCUGGAGGUGGCCAUUUUGGGAAAAUCUGGCCCCACCCAUCAAUCAGUGCUGAGAAGCCCCAGGGCAAACAACAAUCCAGGUGGGAUCACAGUCCUGCCCCUCAGUAAACAGGCUACCUAAAGACUCCUCAGGCACACAGCUGCCUCUAAUCCCAUCCAGAGACUAAGCCCCACCCACCAUAGGGAUUAGAAUCAGCUCCACCUACCAGUGGGCAGGCAUCAGUCCCUCCCAUCAGGAAGCCUACAGCAAGCCCCCAUACUAACUUCAGAUGCAAGGGGGGGCAGAUACCAGAAGUAAGAGAGGCUACAACUCUAUUAUCUAUAAAAAUGUCACCACACCAAAAACCUAUAAAAGUGAAAAGAUAGGGAACUAUAACUCAGAUGAGGGAGAAAGGAAAAUCCCCAGAAAAACAGCUAAGCGAUGAGGAGAUUCUUAGUCUCCAGGAAAAAGACUUUGGAUAGUUGAUGCUGAAGAUGAUGCAAGACAUUGGAAAUAAACUGGAGGCUAAGAUGGAUAACUUACAGGAAACACUGACCAAAGAGAUACAAGAUAUAAAACUUAAACAAGAAGAGAUGCAAAAUACAAUAACUGAAAUAAAAAAUUCACUAGAAGCAGCUAACAGCAGAAUACAGGAGGCAGAAGAACGAAUAAGCGAGGUGGAGGACAUAUUAGUGGAAAUUACACAUGCAGAACGGAAAAGAGAAAAAAGAUUGAAAAUAAAUGAAGAGUCUCAGAGAACUCUGGGACAACAUUAAAUGCACCAACAUCCAUAUUAUAGGGGUGCCAGAAGGAGAAGAGAGAGAGAAGGGGACAGAGAAUAUAUUCCAAGAGAUAAUAGCCGAAAACUUCCCUAACAUGGGAAAGGAACCACUCACUCAAAUCCAGGAAGCACGAGUACCAUAUAAAAUAAACACAUGUUAAUCAAACUGACCAAAAUUAAAGACAGAGAAAAUCUUGAAAGCAUGAUAUACUUAAUGUGAUGAAAGGAACAAACCUCAAACCAAGAUUACUUUACCCAGCAAGGCUCUCAUUCAGAUUUGAAGGAGAAAUCAAAACCUUCACAGAUAAGCAAAAGUUGAGAGAAUUUGGUAACACUAAACCAGCCUUACGACAAAUACUAAAGGAACUUCUCUAGGCAGGAAAGAAAAGACAGCAACAGGAAACAAAAAUUCCACAAAUGACAAGGCUCACCAGUAAAGGUAUAUAUACAGCAAAGAUAACGAAAUCAUCCAUGCACAAUUAUACCACCAAAAUCAGAAAUCAUGAGAAAAGGUGGGUACAAAUGCAGGACACUGGAGAUGAACUUGCAAUUAAGAGAACAACAACUUAAUCUCAUAUACAUAUAGACUCUUAUAUCAAAACUUCAGAAUAACCAAACCAAAAAUACGGUUGAUACACAAACAGGGACUCUCUGGAGAAGAAAUAUAUCUCAUAGUAAAUAAGUGCAUAAUCCACCAUGAAGUGGGUCAUUCAACAUCAUUCUUGGAAUGCUGAAGUCUUCUUACAUCUGAUUCUGAUUUCCUCUCCAUCAAAGAACUUAUGAUAAUUAUAAUUAAAUAAUGCCACUGUACAAUUAAAUGAUACAGUUCUACACUUGUAUUAUUAAUAACCAUUUCUCUCCAUGGUACAAUGUAAGAUCUAUAAUGUCUUAUUUAUCACAUCACCUAGAAUGGCAUAUUGCCUAUAUUGAAGAAUCAAUAAGAUGUAACAAAUUGUGAGGACAUAUUUAUAGAGUUACACUGUUUUUUAACCAAUUUAUGCAUUUUAUAUUUUACUUAUUUUCAGAGGGUAUAUUAUUUUUGUUAUUCUUACCAGUUAAGUUAUUCUUUUUGUUAUGCUAUAUAAAGUAUUUAAUGGUAUGUAAGGGUUUCUUCUUUAUAAAUUUUAGUUGCAUAAUAUAACAAUUUUAAUAUAAUGCCAAUUUUUAAGGAAAAAUUGAAAUGUAAUAGAUAAUACUAGAUGGAUGAAAGCCAUACAAAAUGGGAUAAAGUAUAGAAUAAAUUUCCUAUUCGUCUCAGCAUAUUUUCCAUUCCACUUCUCCAGUGGGGGUCACUUAAUCUGUUUCUUAAGAUCCAUGAUAUAGUAGUCUGUGUGAAUGUAAUUGUGUUUAAAUGUAUGUAUUUAAUCUGUAAAAAAUAAAAAUAAAAUUUCAGAAUAAAAAAAAAAAGACU
rnacentral:lncRNA from 1 species